rnacentral:rRNA from 1 species
CUUGGUCAUUUAGAGGAAGUAAAAGUCGUAACAAGGUCUCCGUAGGUGAACCUGCGGAGGGAUCAUUACAAGUGACCCCGGUCUAACCACCGGGAUGUUCAUAACCCUUUGUUGUCCGACUCUGUUACCUCCGGGGCGACCCUGCCUUCGGGCGGGGGCUCCGGGUGGACACUUCAAACUCUUGCGUAACUUUGCAGUCUGAGUAAACUUAAUUAAUAAAUUAAAACUUUUAACAACGGAUCUCUUGGUUCUGGCAUCGAUGAAGAACGCAGCGAAAUGCGAUAAGUAAUGUGAAUUGCAGAAUUCAGUGAAUCAUCGAAUCUUUGAACGCACAUUGCGCCCCCUGGUAUUCCGGGGGGCAUGCCAGUUCGAGCGUCAUUUCACCACUCAAGCCUCGCUUGGUAUUGGGCAACGCGGUCCGCCGCGUGCCUCAAAUCGACCGGCUGGGUCUUCUGUCCCCUAAGCGUUGUGGAAACUAUUCGCUAAAGGGUGUUCGGGAGGCUACGCCGUAAAACAACCCCAUUUCUAAGGUUGACCUCGGAUCAGGUAGGGAUACCCGCUGAACUUAAGCAUAUCAAUAAGCGGAGGA